AGGAAAUACAAGUUCUGGGUUGAUUCUUUUCUGGUUCAACUGCAAGAGAAACUGGUGCACUUCAAGAAGCAAAGGACAAACUUUAAGAAACGGUGGAGGAACUCACCUGGCGUCUCCAACUAGAAAAAAGUUCGUGGACCAACCUCGAAGAGUCCAAAGCAUAAGAGAUA